AUGAUUCCUCCUAUUUAUAGCAUGGAAAUGGACGCAAAAUCUUUCAAAGAAUUCAGAAGUCAGGAAUGGAACAUCGGAGUGCCAAUGCCAUAUUCAAACUACGAAAAGCAAAAAGAUUCAGUUCUAGUGAUAAUUCAGCAUCCUCGAUAGCAUUA